rnacentral:tRNA from 1 species
GCCUUGGUUGUCUAAUGGAUAAGGACGACAGGCAAGAAAUCUGUGUGCGCGGGUUCAAGUCUCGCUUGAGGUU